rnacentral:rRNA from 1 species
CGACGGGGGAACCCCAAGUGCCAUUCUUAACGGGAUGGCUUUUCUUGAGUGUAAAAAGCUCUUGGAAUAAGAGCUGGGCAAGACCGGUGCCAGCCGCCGCGGUAACACCGGCAGCUCUAGUGGUAGCCAUUUUUAUUGGGCCUAAAGCGUUCGUAGCCGGUUUAAUAAGUCUCUGGUGAAAUCCCGCAGCUUAACUGUGGGAAUUGCUGGAGAUACUAUUAGACUUGAGGUCGGGAGAGGUUAGAGGUACUCCCAGGGUAGGGGUGAAAUCCUGUAAUCCUGGGAGGACCACCUGUGGCGAAGGCGUCUAACUGGAACGAACCUGACGGUGAGGGACGAAAGCUAGGGGCGCGAACCGGAUUAGAUACCCUGGUAGUCCUAGCCGUAAACGAUGCGGACUUGGUGUUAGGAUGGCUUCGAGCCGCCCUAGUGCCGAAGGGAAGCUGUUAAGUCCGUCGCCUGGGAAGUACGGUCGCAAGACUGAAACUUAAAGGAAUUGGCGGGGGAG